rnacentral:snoRNA from 1 species
AGCCCAUGGUGUGGACACCUUCUCUGUAAAUCUUUAUAUCUUUCCCAAGUUUCAUAGAAAGACUCACCAUCAAAUUGAACAAAGUUAGUAAUAUCAUUCCAAAGUUU